CCUACGGGAGGCAGCAGUGAGGAAUAUUGGUCAAUGGGCGGGAGCCUGAACCAGCCAAGUCGCGUGAAGGAAGAAGGUACUUAGUAUUGUAAACUUCUUUUGUCGGGGAACAAAGGCGGAGACGCGUCUCCGGAUGAGUGUACCCGAAGAAAAAGCAUCGGCUAACUCCGUGCCAGCAGCCGCGGUAAUACGGAGGAUGCGAGCGUUAUCCGGAUUUAUUGGGUUUAAAGGGUGCGCAGGCGGGAGAUUAAGUCAGCGGUAAAAUGUCGGGGCUCAACCCCGGCCGGCCGUUGAAACUGGUUGUCUAGAGUUGGAGAGAGGUAUGCGGAAUUCGUGGUGUAGCGGUGAAAUGCAUAGAUAUCACGAAGAACUCCGAUUGCGAAGGCAGCAUACCGGCUCCAUACUGACGCUGAGGCACGAAAGCGUGGGGAUCGAACAGGAUUAGAUAUCCCUGUAGUC
rnacentral:rRNA from 1 species